rnacentral:rRNA from 1 species
UACGGGGGGGGCAAGCGUUGUUCGGAAUUACUGGGCGUAAAGGGCUCGUAGGCGGCCAACUAAGUCAGACGUGAAAUCCCUCGGCUUAACCGGGGAACUGCGUCUGAUACUGGAUGGCUUGAGUUUGGGAGAGGGAUGCGGAAUUCCAGGUGUAGCGGUGAAAUGCGUAGAUAUCUGGAGGAACACCGGUGGCGAAGGCGGUAUCCUGGACCAACACUGACGCUGAGGGAGCGAAAGCCAGGGGAGCAAACGGG